rnacentral:rRNA from 1 species
UACGGAGGGUGCAAGCGUUAUCCGGAUUCACUGGGUUUAAAGGGUGCGUAGGUGGGCAGCUAAGUCAGUGGUGAAAUCUCCGGGCUCAACCCGGAAACUGCCAUUGAUACUAUCUGUCUUGAAUAUCGUGGAGGUAAGCGGAAUAUGUCAUGUAGCGGUGAAAUGCUUAGAUAUGACAUAGAACACCAAUUGCGAAGGCAGCUUACUACCCGAAUAUUGACACUGAGGCACGAAAGCGUGGGGAGCGAACAGG